ACGGGAGGCAGCAGUAGGGAAUCUUCCACAAUGGGCGCAAGCCUGAUGGAGCAACGCCGCGUGAGUGAAGAAGGAUUUCGGUUCGUAAAACUCUGUUGCAAGGGAAGAACAAGUAGCGUAGUAACUGGCGCUACCUUGACGGUACCUUGUUAGCAAGCCACGGAUAACUAAGUGCCAGCAGCCGCGGUAAUACGUAGGUGGCAAGCGUUGUCCGGAAUUAUUGGGCGUAAAGCGUGCGCAGGUGGUUUCUUAAGUCUGAUGUGAAAGCCCUCGGCUCAACCGGGGAGGGUCAUUUGAAACUGGGAGACUUGAGUGCAGAAGAGGAAAGUGGAAUUCCAAGUGUAGCGGUGAAAUGCGUAGAGAUUUGGAGGAACACCAGUGGCGAAGGCGACUUUCUGGUCUGUAACUGACACUGAGGCGCGAAAGCGUGGGGAGCAAACAGGAUUAGAUACCCUGGUA
rnacentral:rRNA from 1 species